rnacentral:rRNA from 1 species
GAUGAACGCUGGCGGCGUGCCUAAUACAUGCAAGUCGAGCGAACAGACGAGGAGCUUGCUCCUCUGACGUUAGCGGCGGACGGGUGAGUAACACGUGGAUAACCUCCCUAUAAGACUGGGAUAACUUCGGGAAACCGGAGCUAAUACCGGAUAAUAUAUUGAACCGCAUGGUUCAAUAGUGAAAUACGGCUUUGCUGUCACUUAUAGAUGGAUCCGCGCCGCAUUAGCUAGUUGGUAAGGUAACGGCUUACCAAGGCAACGAUGCGUAGCCGACCUGAGAGGGUGAUCGGCCACACUGGAACUGAGACACGGUCCAGACUCCUACGGGAGGCAGCAGUAGGGAAUCUUCCGCAAUGGGCGAAAGCCUGACGGAGCAACGCCGCGUGAGUGAUGAAGGUCUUCGGAUCGUAAAACUCUGUUAUUAGGGAAGAACAAAUGUGUAAGUAACUAUGCACGUCUUGACGGUACCUAAUCAGAAAGCAACGGCUAACUACGUG